rnacentral:rRNA from 1 species
GACGAACGCUGGCGGCGUGCCUAAUACAUGCAAGUCGAGCGGACGAAUCGAAAGCUUGCUUUUGAUUCGUUAGCGGCGGACGGGUGAGUAACACGUGGGCAACCUGCCCUGUAGACGGGGAUAACACCGAGAAAUCGGUGCUAAUACCGGAUAACACGAAAUGUCGCAUGACGUUUCGUUGAAAGACGGCGCAAGCUGUCGCUACAGGAUGGGCCCGCGGCGCAUUAGCUAGUUGGUGAGGUAACGGCUCACCAAGGCGACGAUGCGUAGCCGACCUGAGAGGGUGAUCGGCCACACUGGGACUGAGACACGGCCCAGACUCCUACGGGAGGCAGCAGUAGGGAAUCUUCCGCAAUGGACGAAAGUCUGACGGAGCAACGCCGCGUGAGCGAAGAAGGCCUUCGGGUCGUAAAGCUCUGUUGUUAGGGAAGAACAAGUAACGCAGUAACUGGCGUUUCCGUGACGGUACCUAACGAGAAAGCCACGGCUAACUACGUG